AGUGGCGGACGGGUGAGUAACGCGUAAGAAUCUAACUUCAGGACGGGGACAACAGUGGGAAACGACUGCUAUUGCCCGAUGUGCCGCAAGGUGAAACCUAAUUGGCCUGGAGAAGAGCUUGCGUCUGAUUAGCUAGUUGGUGGGGUAAAGGCCUACCAAGGCGACGAUCAGUAGCUGGUCUGAGAGGAUGAGCAGCCACACUGGGACUGAGACACGGCCCAGACUCCUACGGGAGGCAGCAGUGGGGAAUUUUCCGCAAUGGGCGAAAGCCUGACGGAGCAACGCCGCGUGAGGGAGGAAGGUCUUUGGAUUGUAAACCUCUUUUCUCAAGGAAGAAGUUCUGACGGUACUUGAGGAAUCAGCCUCGGCUAACUCCGUGCCAGCAGCCGCGGUAAUACGGGGGAGGCAAGCGUUAUCCGGAAUUAUUGGGCGUAAAGCGUCCGCAGGUGGUCAGCCAAGUCUGCCGUCAAAUCAGGUUGCUUAACGACCUAAAGGCGGUGGAAACUGGCAGACUAGAGAGCAGUAGGGGUAGCAGGAAUUCCCAGUGUAGCGGUGAAAUGCGUAGAGAUUGGGAAGAACAUCGGUGGCGAAAGCGUGCUACUGGGCUGUAUCUGACACUCAGGGACGAAAGCUAGGGGAGCGAAAGGGAUUAGAUACCCCUGUAGUCCUAGCCGUAAACGAUGGAUACUAGGCGUGGCUU
rnacentral:rRNA from 1 species